rnacentral:rRNA from 1 species
GAUGAACGCUGGCGGCGUGCCUAAUACAUGCAAGUCGAGCGAACAGACGAGGAGCUUGCUCCUCUGACGUUAGCGGCGGACGGGUGAGUAACACGUGGAUAACCUACCUAUAAGACUGGGAUAACUUCGGGAAACCGGAGCUAAUACCGGAUAAUAUAUUGAACCGCAUGGUUCAAUAGUGAAAGACGGUUUUGCUGUCACUUAUAGAUGGAUCCGCGCCGCAUUAGCUAGUUGGUAAGGUAACGGCUUACCAAGGCAACGAUGCGUAGCCGACCUGAGAGGGUGAUCGGCCACACUGGAACUGAGACACGGUCCAGACUCCUACGGGAGGCAGCAGUAGGGAAUCUUCCGCAAUGGGCGAAAGCCUGACGGAGCAACGCCGCGUGAGUGAUGAAGGUCUUCGGAUUGUAAAACUCUGUUAUUAGGGAAGAACAAAUGUGUAAGUAACUAUGCACGUCUUGACGGUACCUAAUCAGAAAGCCACGGCGAACUACG